GAAACUGCCUGAUGGAGGGGGAUAACUACUGGAAACGGUAGCUAAUACCGCAUAAUGUCGCAAGACCAAAGUGGGGGACCUUCGGGCCUCAUGCCAUCAGAUGUGCCCAGAUGGGAUUAGCUAGUAGGUGGGGUAACGGCUCACCUAGGCGACGAUCCCUAGCUGGUCUGAGAGGAUGACCAGCCACACUGGAACUGAGACACGGUCCAGACUCCUACGGGAGGCAGCAGUGGGGAAUAUUGCACAAUGGGCGCAAGCCUGAUGCAGCCAUGCCGCGUGUGUGAAGAAGGCCUUCGGGUUGUAAAGCACUUUCAGCGGGGAGGAAGGCGAUAAGGUUAAUAACCUUGUCGAUUGACGUUACCCGCAGAAGAAGCACCGGCUAACUCCGUGCCAGCAGCCGCGG
rnacentral:rRNA from 1 species